GCAGCCCAGGAGGAAGGAGCUCUCUGCCGUGGAAGAGAGGAGAAGCCUAACUGAAGGAGCAGCGGCUGACACGGCUGCAGAAUGGAGUUUUUCCCGAACCAUGACAAAAAGUCCAGGGGCAGGACGCUGCCUCCCAGACCCGAAGCCCAGGAUAUGCAGCGUCCAGUGAUAUUUAGAAAACUAAUGUGGGUGAAACUCACCAGGGGCAGCAACCAGCCCACAGCCCAGUAAUGAAUGAAGAUAGUAAAGAGGAGAGGAGAGUGAAAUAUCUUCAUUUAAAAAAAAAUUUUUUUUUACGUUUGGUAUAUAUUUUAUAGUGUUAAGUUGAAUAUAUAUUUAU